GACGAACGCUGGCGGCGUGCCUAAUACAUGCAAGUAGAACGCUGAAGAGAGGAGCUUGCUCUUCUUGGAUGAGUUGCGAACGGGUGAGUAACGCGUAGGUAACCUGCCUGGUAGCGGGGGAUAACUAUUGGAAACGAUAGCUAAUACCGCAUAAAAUGGAUUAUCGCAUGAUAAUCCAUUGAAAGGUGCAAAUGCAUCACUACCAGAUGGACCUGCGUUGUAUUAGCUAGUUGGUGGGGUAACGGCUCACCAAGGCGACGAUACAUAGCCGACCUGAGAGGGUGCGGCGACACUCUGAGUCUGAGACACGCCACAGUCCCACGGGAGACAGAGGUGUGGGAAAUCUGGGGAAAGACGGAAGAGUGAGCGAGAGAAACGGCGCGAGAGAAGAAGAGGUUCGCGGAGCAUAGAGCUGUGGUAAGAGAAGAGCGCGUGUGAGAGAGUAAAGUUCACACUGUGACGGUAUCUUACCAGAAAGGGACGGCUAACUACGUG
rnacentral:rRNA from 1 species